ensembl:ncRNA lncRNA:CR43956 long non-coding RNA:CR43956
AUUUUAAUAUGCAUCGACAUUGAAUGCUACAAUAAAAACUAGUCUCAUUUACGGUGGUCUGUUUAACUAAUAUCCAAAGUUACAAGAAGCAACUUCAUGAACAACGAACCAAUCAUUUCCCAUUUCACUGACAUUGGCAAUACCGGUGCAGUCAAAAAAAUAACCCGAACAAAUAUGAAUAGAUAGCUAAUCUUUACUUGG